rnacentral:rRNA from 1 species
UGAGUAACCUGCCCUUAACUCUGGGAUAAGCCUGGGAAACUGGGUCUAAUACCGGAUAUGACUCCUCAUCGCAUGGUGGGGGGUUGGAAAGCUUUAUUGUGGUUUUGGAUGGACUCGCGGCCUAUCAGCUUGUUGGUGAGGUAAUGGCUUACCAAGGCGACGACGGGUAGCCGGCCUGAGAGGGUGACCGGCCACACUGGGACUGAGACACGGCCCAGACUCCUACGGGAGGCAG